rnacentral:rRNA from 1 species
CUAACACAUGCAAGUCGAACGAGCGAGAGAGAGCUUGCUUUCUCAAGCGAGUGGCGAACGGGUGAGUAACGCGUGAGGAACCUGCCUCAAAGAGGGGGACAACAGUUGGAAACGACUGCUAAUACCGCAUAAGCCCACGGCUCGGCAUCGAGCAGAGGGAAAAGGAGCAAUCCGCUUUGAGAUGGCCUCGCGUCCGAUUAGCUAGUUGGUGAGGUAACGGCCCACCAAGGCGACGAUCGGUAGCCGGACUGAGAGGUUGAACGGCCACAUUGGGACUGAGACACGGCCCAGACUCCUACGGGAGGCAGCAGUGGGGAAUAUUGCACAAUGGGGGAAACCCUGAUGCAGCGACGCCGCGUGGAGGAAGAAGGUCUUCGGAUUGUAAACUCCUGUUGUUGAGGAAGAUAAUGACGGUACUCAACAAGGAAGUGACGGCUAACUACGUGCCAGCAGCCGCGGUAAAACGUAGGUCACAAGCGUUGUCCGGAAUUACUGGGUGUAAAGGGAGCGCAGGCGGGAAGACAAGUUGGAAGUGAAAUCCAUGGGCUCAACCCAUGAACUGCUUUCAAAACUGUUUUUCUUGAGUAGUGCAGAGGUAGGCGGAAUUCCCGGUGUAGCGGUGGAAUGCGUAGAUAUCGGGAGGAACACCAGUGGCGAAGGCGGCCUACUGGGCACCAACUGACGCUG